rnacentral:rRNA from 1 species
CAAUACCCAGUCGAGCGGCGGACGGGUGAGUAACGCGUGGAUAAUCUACCUUUUGGUGGGGGAUAACCCGGGGAAACUCGAGCUAAUACCGCAUAAGAUCGCAAGAUGAAAGGGGCGUUAAGUCCCGCCGGAAGAGGAGUCCGCGUCCGAUUAGCUAGUUGGUAGGGUAAUGGCCUACCAAGGCGACGAUCGGUAGCCGGCCUGAGAGGGUGAUCGGCCACACUGGAACUGAGACACGGUCCAG